GGGUGUAUGGUCUAGUGGUAUGAUUUUCGCUUUGCAUCAAAUGGUCAAUGUGAACGGUCCCCGGUUCGAUCCCGGGUGCAUCCA